rnacentral:rRNA from 1 species
UACGUAGGGUGCAAGCGUUAAUCGGAAUUACUGGGCGUAAAGAGUGCGUAGGCGGUUUCUCAAGUCCGCUGUGAAAUCCCCGGGCUCAACCUGGGAAUGGCAGUGGAAACUAGGAGACUUGAAUCUGGCAGAGGGGGGUGGAAUUCCACGUGUAGCAGUGAAAUGCGUAGAGAUGUGGAGGAACACCGAUGGCGAAGGCAGCCCCCUGGGCUGAGAUUGACGCUCAGGCACGAAAGCGUGGGGAGCAAACAGG